rnacentral:rRNA from 1 species
AACGAACGCUGGCGGCAUGCCUAACACAUGCAAGUCGAACGAGACCUUCGGGUCUAGUGGCGCACGGGUGCGUAACGCGUGGGAACCUGCCCUUAGGUUCGGAAUAACUCCCCGAAAGGGGUGCUAAUACCGGAUAAUGUCUUCGGACCAAAGAUUUAUCGCCUUUGGAUGGGCCCGCGUUGGAUUAGCUAGUUGUUAGGGUAAAAGCCUACCAAGGCGACGAUCCAUAGCUGGUCUGAGAGGAUGAUCAGCCACACUGGGACUGAGACACGGCCCAGACUCCUACGGGAGGCAGCAGUGGGGAAUAUUGGACAAUGGGCGAAAGCCUGAUCCAGCAAUGCCGCGUGAGUGAUGAAGGCCUUAGGGUUGUAAAGCUCUUUUACCCGGGACGAUAAUGACAGUACCGGGAGAAUAAGCUCCGGCUAACUCCGUG